rnacentral:rRNA from 1 species
UACGGGGGGAGCAAGCGUUGUUCGGAUUUACUGGGCGUAAAGGGCGCGUAGGCGGCCACCGCAAGUCGACUGUGAAAUCUCCGGGCUUAACCCGGAAAGGUCAGCCGAUACUGCGGGGCUAGAGUGCAGAAGGGGCAACUGGAAUUCUCGGUGUAGCGGUGAAAUGCGUAGAUAUCGAGAGGAACACCUGCGGCGAAGGCGGGCUACUGGGCUGAUACUGACGCUGAGGCGCGAAAGCCAGGGGAGCAAACGGG